rnacentral:rRNA from 1 species
GACGAACCGUGCGAACGUUGUUCGGAAUCACUGGGCUUAAAGGGCGCGUAGGCGGUUGAUCAAGUCUGGGGUGAAAUCUUUCGGCUUAACCGGAAAAGUGCCUUGGAUACUGGUCAGCUGGAGGGAGGUAGGGGCAGUUGGAACUUCCAGUGGAGCGGUGAAAUGCGUUGAUAUUGGAAGGAACGCCGGUGGCGAAAGCGAGCUGCUGGACCUCUUCUGACGCUGAUGCGCGAAAGCCAGGGGAGCGAACGGG